UACGGAGGGUGCAAGCGUUGUCCGGAUUUAUUGGGUUUAAAGGGUGCGUAGGUGGCUUGUUAAGUCCGGGGUGAAAGCCCACUGCUCAACAGUGGAACUGCCCUGGAAACUGGCGAACUUGAGUACAGACGAGGGCGGCGGAAUGGAUGGUGUAGCGGUGAAAUGCAUAGAUACCAUCCAGAACCCCGAUUGCGAAGGCAGCUGCCUAGACUGUAACUGACGCUGAGGCACGAAAGCGUGGGGAGCGAACAGG
rnacentral:rRNA from 1 species